rnacentral:lncRNA from 1 species
UUAUUGAAUAAGAGUAUGCUCUGAUAUUGCAUACCAAGUGAAAUAACGAAAAGCCUUUCUUUACUCUGACUUACUACCAAUUAGUUCCCAACCACCUUUAUUCAAGGAAUUUUGGAAGUGGAAAGGGCUGGUAAAGGAUGCAAGGAUCAAAACGUCAGAGCAAGCUCAGUCCGCCUGGAUUUGAGAGCUAGGUAAUGCCGGGAAUGAACGCGAUGAGAACAGAGUGAAGUCCGCUCAGGAGGCCGCAUGGUGAAGGGCCUGACAGAGGAAGGAGCAGCAUGAGGAGGCUGGGCGGAGGGUAGAGAGAAAAGUGUGCGGGUGAAGCUGAGGGAAGUGGAGGGCUGGCGUCAGUGGACGUGGGAAUGAAACCAGGAGGAUGAAAAAUGGGCUCAUUUGUAACUACACUGAAUUUCCAAGUAUACUGUGGUAGGAGAAAAAAAAAGUUAAAAGCAUUGCAAUAUGUUGGUGGCUCCUGAAUGACAGUCAUGCUUAAUAACUUGAUGUAAGAAAUAGUGGGAGGUGCCAUGGGUUUUGCAUCUGUUUCAGGGAAAAGGUUAUGGAGAUAAUGAAAUAAAAAUGCUUAAACAUAAAUAGCAGGCUUCAAAGGAAGCAACAGUGAAACUUUGCUGAAGAGACAAGGUUUGAGCUGUUAAAACUUAAAUUAAGUCUGUGGUAAUAAAUCAUUUUUAGGCAGAAGAAUAUGAAAUUAUUUCCCAGCCAAGACAAGAUUUUAAUAAAAUAACUUGCAUAAAAACAUAUAUUAAAGAUAGUACUGUAUUUCUUUCCAGUGUGACAGUUUUUAACCACACAGAUUCAGAACACCCUCCGUUGAGGGCAGGCUUGAUUCAAGUAAGAGAGGAUUUAAUGUGGAGCAUUAGGAUCUUGGAGGCAUUGACAGGAUGCUGAGGAGGACCGGUGGGCUUUGGAAGCCAAAGCGGUCUUGGCGCAAGAACAGUGUGAGAGUAUAAAUGGGGAGUUAUGGAAUGAUGGUGAUCAGUUAUAAAGCGAUAGCUAUAGCUGUAGGAGUGGAGAGAAACACUUCAACAAAAAAGUCAUUUUGUAAAGGAAAAACAUGAAUAAAUUGGGAUGAGAUUUUAGGGUAAAAAAGCUUGGUGAAUAAAGAUGCUGCAGCUGUGGGCCUAGGCUGGGCUGGCAGCUGCAGCUCUUACUUGACCCCUAGCCCAGGAACUGCCAAAUGCUAUGAGUGUGCCCCUAAAAAGCAAAAUAAGAAUGAUAAUAAUGAUGAUGCUGAUGACUCCAAAGUGUACUACAAGAGCAGUGACUCCGUACCAGGGAUAGAAAUGAAUUGUUCUAAAGGGAACCUAGUUUUUGCAGACAAGGGAUGAGUUCCAGUUUGAACCCAUGGAGUCUGAGGUGACAGUCAGUUAUCCAAGGGGAUUUCUAUUUGGACAGGUACCCAGAUGGGAAAGGGAUGCCAGACAUAAAAGUAAAGUCAUAGGUACAUUCACUGAGUGAAUUAACAUAUAGGGCAAAAUCUAGGGGCUCUCAUAUUUGGGGGUAGAAAGACUAAUGAAAUCAAUAAGAGAAAGUUAAAAGUGAGACAAGGUGAAUUGAAAAAUUUGAGAUUCACAGAGGCCAAAGCAGAUGAGAUUAAUGGAAGGCAAACAUCACUCCCAUCAGAACUUUUGCAAAGGUCCAAGGAUGAUGCUGGCCAAGAGGAGCUCCAUGACCCUGUGCUCAGAUGGACAUUGGUCAUCUAGGAGCAAUUGAUGGAGAUAAUGAACUGCGGCAACAGAAACCAAGAUAGCUGGGGGCUAAAAAAACAAACUGCAGCUAAGGCUUAUACUUCCGAGAAGGAGUUUUUAGGAAAGCUUUCUCUACAUUUCUUUUUUAGGCCAGAAAUCUUUGAGGAUGUGCUAGAAGGAAAAAAUAGAUUUUUAAAGCAGAUGAUUAAGUGAGGUGGUUGACAUUUUUGGCGAAGAAAGGUUUAGCUUUAGAAAACCAAAAAAAUUUAACAGCAAUAUUUAGACCCAAAAUAGUAUGGCAUGAAAUAUUUGUCAAAUUCUUACUGAAUUUGAAGAGACACUCCAGAUUACAGUUUUGGGGUUCUUGUUUGUUUGUUUGUUUUUGUAAUAGCUUGUGUUCACAGUAUUCUUAGAGCUAAAAUGUUCAUCACUGGAAUAAUAUUGAUUAUUUUAUUAUUGAAUAUUAAACAAUGAAUUGAUGAGAUGAUCCUCACGGAUGUCACCAUUAGGAAAUGGUGCUGAAAAACAAGAUCAGACUGAGCAGAUUUGAAGAUCUACUUGCCUUCAUUGAGUGAUUCAUGAAUUGAGCAGCAUCCCAUCUAGCAAAUAGAAAGUAGCUCUGAGGAUCUGUAAGACAUGGAAGACUUAUAUGCAGAAGGAGUUGUGGGUGAUAGAGUUUUCCCUGCAAGCCGUGAAUUAUUUUAUGCAGAGUCACCUUCCUUUGGGGGAGGCAGCGGUCUCUCAGGCACAUUAUCUCACUAGUGUUGACCAGGUCAGUCCAGAUUGGCUGGUUGGAGGUUACAUUCCUGGGAGAGGCUGAAACUGCAGUCAGUUUAGGUUGUAAGUCUUGGUUUGCUGAGAAGGGGCUUAGCACACGUGACUCCAUUUGGAGCUUUCUUUCUUUUUUCUUUUCUUUUUUUUUUAAACAAAGGUAUAGUUCCAAUUUAAGCUCAAAUUUUUCAAAGUAGGAUUGAGUCCCUUCUACAAGGUGGCUGUAGAAUGGUGCUGCAGAUAGAAACUAGUGAAAAAUGAGAAAAAAAAAGUAGUUUUUAGGUUACACAGUUAGUUUAUUAUCGACACAGGCAUACUGCUGAGAUUCUACAGAUUCAGUUCCAGACCACCUCAAUGCGUGUUUUGCAGUAAAGCCAGUCACACAAAUUAUUUGAUUUCCCAGUGCACAUAAAUGUUAUGUUUGCAUUCUACUGUAGUCUAUUAAGUUUUCCAAUAGCAUUAUGUCUAAAAAAUUUACAUGCUUUAAUUAAAAAUACUUUAUUGCUAAAACACGCUCACCAUCAUCUGAGCCUUCAGCAAGUGGUAGGAGUAAUAUCAAAGACCACUGAUCACAGAGCAUAUAACAUAUGUAAUGGCAGUGAAAAUGUUUGAAACUUUGCAAGAAUUACUAAAAUAUGACACAGAACUACAGAGUGAGCAAAUGCCCUUGGAAAAAUGGCACCUAUAGAUUUGCUUGAAGCAGUGUUGCCACAAACCUUCAAUUUGUAAAAAAAAAAAA